CAAACAGCAGUGGAUGCAACCGUUGCGUAUGUAGAGAACACAAAGGACAAUGGCACUGCAUGCACCGGGGAGGAGGUUUCGGGCCGGCCGCAUACCGGAUGCUACCUCCGGUCCCUCAGCCUGCGCCUUCCACUGCCAGGUUUUGUGUGGCAGUUGGUAAACGCUGUCGUCGGUAGAGGACGGUCUUCAGCUGUGUUUUGAAGACAUCUUUCCUACAUGCCCAAGAUGGCUCAUAAAGGAGGCAAAUCCAGGAGAAAGACCAAGCACAAUAUAUAUGCCCAAUAUCAGCAGCCUCUGCCUGAGUCAUGGGAGUUGAGUACACGUGAAGCCUGUUUAAAUCCUAAUGCUAUGCAGCCUGGUGUAUUUUUGAGCUGGUUCAAGGGUGAGAUGUGUAAUACCUUCAAAGAAAUUAAAGAGUCUAUGGUGCCUUAAAAGAGAGAGAGGUCUA